rnacentral:rRNA from 1 species
GACGAGCUCCCCAAACGUUAUUCGGUAUCACUGGGCUUAAAGAGUUCGUAGGCGGCUUAGUAGGUGAGGUGUGAAAGCCCUCGGCUUAACCGAGGAACUGCGCUUCAAACCGCUAAGCUAGAGGGAUAUAGGGGUAAGCGGAACAGAUGGUGGAGCGGUGAAAUGCAUUGAUAUCAUCUGGAACACCGGUGGCGAAAGCGGCUUACUGGAUAUUUUCUGACGCUGAGGAACGAAAGCUAGGGUAGCGAACGGG